rnacentral:miRNA from 1 species
CCCUGAACAACAUCCGUCUUCCCGGGUGAUGUGUGCAGUGCUCUGCUGAGGAAGGUGCUCAUUGCAUUCAUUCAUAAGAGUAAUUAGGACCU